rnacentral:rRNA from 1 species
AGUCGACGGCAGCCAGCAGAGCUUGCUCUGUGGGUGGCGAGUGGCGGACUGGUGAGUAAUGCAUCGGGAUCUACCCAAACGUGGGGGAUAACGUAGGGAAACUUACGCUAAUACCGCAUACGUCCUACGGGAGAAAGCGGGGGAUCUUCGGACCUCGCGCGGUUGGAUGAACCGAUGUGCGAUUAGCUAGUUGGCGGGGUAAUGGCCCACCAAGGCGACGAUCGCUAGCUGGUCUGAGAGGAUGAUCAGCCACACUGGAACUGAGACACGGUCCAGACUCCUACGGGAGGCAGCAGUGGGGAAUAUUGGACAAUGGGCGCAAGCCUGAUCCAGCAAUGCCGCGUGUGUGAAGAAGGCCUUCGGGUUGUGAAGCACUUUUAUCAGGAACGAAAUACCACGGGUUAAUACCCUAUGGGGCUGACGGUACCUGAGGAAUAAGCACCGGCUAACUUCGUGCCAGCAGCCGCGGUAAUACGAAGGGUGCAAGCGUUAAUCGGAAUUACUGGGCGUAAAGCGUGCGUAGGCGGUUCGUUAAGUCUGCUGUGAAAUCCCCGGGCUCAACCUGGGAAUGGCAGUGGAUACUGGCAAGCUAGAGUGUGUCAGAGGAUGGUGGAAUUCCCGGUGUAGCGGUGAAAUGCGUAGGGAUCGGGAGGAA